rnacentral:rRNA from 1 species
CACGUAGGGUGCGAGCGUUGUCCGGAAUUAUUGGGCGUAAAGAGCUCGUAGGCGGUGUGUCGCGUCGGCCGUGAAAACUUGGGGCUUAACUCUGAGCUUGCGGUCGAUACGGGCAUCACUGGAGUUCGGCAGGGGAGACUGGAAUCCUGGUGUAGCGGUGAAAUGCGCAGAUAUCGGGAGGAACACCUGUGGCGGAAAGCGGCUC